UCAAAAUCUAAACUGAAACAAUUGAAUUUAACCCUAAACUUUACCCGACCCCCUUUUUUUUUUGUUCUUCUCCUUCGUUUCAGUCAAGCGGCAGCCCAGCCCCAGCCUCCCUCGUCGUCCUCCUUCGGUUCAAGCUUCAGCAGAGCAGCACCAUCAUCAACAUCAAGCACGGGCCACGACAGCCUGAGCUGAGCCUCCCUCUUGGUUCAAGCUUCAUCACGGCAGCAACAGCAAGGAGGAGAGAAGAAGAGAAGUCAAGUGCCAGCCACUGCCUUGCCUGCCGCCGACCCAACCCUUCGAGACGAGCCCGAAGCCUCCCUUAGCUCUCACGCGGCGGCACCACCGGCCACCACCAGCGGCGCAACACACCUCGCCUCGCCUCGGUCUGGUAAGCACAGUACAUAAUACAUAUUUACAUUUAGUAUAUAUAUAUGUAUAUAUAUAAUAUAUAUAUAUGUUAGGAUAGGCAGUUUCGGUUAAGUUAGAUGUUAGAAUUUUAUAAUUCAGAAUCAGAUUUUAUAUAUAUAUGUAUAUAUAUAUAUAUAAGUAGGCAGACAGGUUUCGGGUCUUUCGAAGCCUUCUUUGCUCUUUGUUUUGGUUCUUUUUGUUGUUCUUGCUUCAGAGAAAUCAUUGGCUGUUCAAGCUAGGUUUCUUUCCACUACUCAACAAAGAUAUGCGAAUGUUUUUGCAACUUUGGGACUUGUUUGCAAGUGUUGUUGUGAUGGCCCCAAGGGAGAAUGCACAAGUAGCUGGACCAACUCUUGCUCUAAAAUCCAAUGCCUUCCUUGGAAACAAAAUUAUCAAUGAAAAUUUUCUCUUUUUGUUUUUGUGAUGUUGUACAUGUAUAUAUAUAUAUAAUAUCUAUACGAUAAUAUAUAUAAGUACCAGUAUACUUACUGGGCAAUUAAAGGUUAUUAUUACAUAGAAA